GACGAACGCUGGCAGCAUGCCUAAUACAUGCAAGUCGAGCGAACAGAUGAAGUGCUUGCACUUCUGACGUUAGCGGCGAACGGGUGAGUAACACGUAAGGAAUCUACCUAUAAGCGGGGGAUAACAUUCGGAAACGGGUGCUAAUACCGCAUAAUAUCUUCUUCCGCAUGGAAGAAGAUUGAAAGACGGCUCUGCUGUCACUUAUAGAUGACCUUGCGGUGCAUUAGUUAGUUGGUGGGGUAACGGCCUACCAAGACGAUGAUGCAUAGCCGACCUGAGAGGGUGAUCGGCCACAUUGGGACUGAGACACGGCCCAAACUCCUACGGGAGGCAGCAGUAGGGAAUCUUCCGCAAUGGGCGAAAGCCUGACGGAGCAAUGCCGCGUGAGUGAAGAAGGCCUUCGGGUCGCAAAACUCUGUUAUAAGAGAAGAACAAAUUGUAGAGUAACUGCUACAGUCUUGACGGUAUCUUAUCAGAAAGCCACGGCUAACUACGUGCCAGCAGCCGCAGUAA
rnacentral:rRNA from 1 species